CUGAGCUCCAAGAAGAUGCGGGA
rnacentral:piRNA from 1 species